UUCUCCAGAGGUCCCUUUCAAUCUCAACCAUUCUGUGAUUCUGUGAUUAUGUUUUCAUCAGACACAUACUAUCAGGCCCACUAGAAAGGAAAGGGAGCAACCUGAAGUGAGAUUGGCCAUCCAGGCUGGACCUCCAAAAGUCUAUUGCUGUGCCAGUACUCUUAAGUUGGGCAUCACAGAUCUCUUUCCGUUCAGGACAAAUAAGGGAAAAGACAAAUAGUGUUAUCUAGGCACAACUGAUACCACAAAUAAUAGACUGUAUGUUAGCAUAGAAGCUCUUUUUGUUGUUGUUGCUGAUGGAUGUGUGUGUCUGAGUGUGACUGGAGGUCAACCCAGAAGUUGAAUUACAAGGAGAAAAGUGAGCUUUGUGGGCAAAUUUCUGCCUGAAAAAAGGGUUGGUACUGCAAGCAGCUGUGCCUUCUGGAUGGAAGACUACAGCCCCAUUCUUAGCACCAGGUACUGUAACAUAUGUUCCCACGCAGCAUUACAUGUCUGAUGUCACUCUCCAUCUGCAUAACAGCAACACUCUGUGAACAGGGAAACAAGAUUCUUUUAAUACAUCUUUGAUAAAUAAGACUAUAAGAAGUGCUCAAAUAUGAUCUGUAUUUUCACUAACCUUAAGGUCACAAGCCCCAAGAAUGUAAUGAUCUGUGUGAAUUAACACAUUACUUAUAAAAGCUGCCAUUAGUUUAUAUAACCACUAAAAAUAUUCCAGGUUUCAGUGGCAUAUUCAUAAAUGCUAUUCUGUUUAAUCCAUGAUACAAUAUUUACUAAUCAGUUCUUCGUAUAAAAGAAAAAAGAAGGAACUCCCUAUAUAUCUAUCUACACAAGCCAUUAACUGUCAUAUUUCUAAACACAAGUCUGCUUCUCGCUGUUAUUCUGUAAACCCAAUCUAAUCAGUAUUUGCUACACUUCAGAGAGGAAGUCUGUGAAUAUAACCUGGUUUAUAAUGUAUUUCAUUCAUAAUAUCUUUCCUGUAUUGGUAGACUAAGAGUUUAGGGGAGCUAAUGUCAUAACUUGUACAUAAGAAGAGGGGUAUUAAUUUAGAUCUUUCUUUCCUCUGUGCAACUGCUACCUUUACAAAAGUUGUAAGAACAUAUUUUUGUCAAGCCUGGUGUCCUUUUUGCCAAAUUUGGUUGAAAUUGGACAAGUUCAAAAGUUAUUGAUGAACAAAAUAGAGUGACUGAAAAAAAACCUCAACCUUGUUUCCCUGCGAAACCACCAAAUCCUUCUACAAAGAAUCAGAGCAAAUCCAGUUCAGUUCAACAUCCUGCUUUGUGCAAAGCCAACAUAAUCUGUUUCUGUGGUGCCCUGCACAGCAGUUACAGAACAACCCCACCACCAAAUGAUGUGCCCAAAUAGCUGCAUCUAGACUUCCUUCUAGGGCCACCAUUAAGCCACUGUUUCACA
rnacentral:lncRNA from 1 species